rnacentral:rRNA from 1 species
GGGCCCGCACAAGCGGUGGAGCAUGUGGUUUAAUUCGAUGAUACGCGAGGAACCUUACCAGGGCUUAAAUGCAGAACGACCGGGUGGAAACACCCCUUUUCGACGGUCUGCAAGGUGCUGCAUGGUUGUCGUCAGCUCGUGCUGUGAAGUGUCGGGUUAAGUCCCAUAACGAGCGCAACCCUAUUUCUAGUUGCCAGCGGUUCGGCCGGGACUCUAGAGAAACUGCCAGCGUAAGCUGUGAGGAAGUGGGAUGACGUCAAAUCAUCACGGCCCUUACGUCCUGGGCCACACACGUGCUACAAUGGUGGGGACAACAAGUUGCCAACCCCGCGAGGUGAGCUAAUCUUCAAACCCCAUCUCAG